rnacentral:rRNA from 1 species
CUGUUAUCACGGGUGACACACGGCGGGUGCUACCGUCCGUCGUGAAGAGGGAAGCACCCCAGACCGCCAGCUAAGGGCCCAAAGGCAUGGUUAAGUGGGAAACGAGGUGGGAAGGCCCAGACAGCCAGGAUGUUGGCUUAGAAGCAGCCAUCAUUUAAAGAAAGCGUAAUAGCUCACUGGUCGAGUCGGCCUGCGCGGAAGAUGUAGCGGGGCUAAACCAUGCACCGA